rnacentral:lncRNA from 1 species
AGGCAAAGCCGGGAGAAACUGCUGAGACGAGGUUAGGAUUUAACCUUUAAAUUCUGGAGCCACCGAAAGCCGAGGGGAGGACGCCGGGUGUCGGUGCUAAUGAGGCUGAGGGUGGGCGGUGGGAGGUGGGUGGCCGAGUCCCGGGCAGGUCCUGGGGGGCUCCUUGGGGAAGGCCUUGGGAGCCCUCCGCCCUGGCUGCCUCCCCCAUCAGACGGGGAGUGCGUCUGAUUGGGCGGCCAGGAGGCAGUGGUCCUUGUCCCCGCCCAGCUGGAGCGGGGUGGUGAUGCGUCCUGGGAAGUCAGGGUCUCACCCCGGGUGAGUGAGGGGGCUGUCUAGGUCCCGACCCCUCCCAGACUGGCCUUGCAUUGAGGUCCCCCCCACCCCGUCCCCGGCCCGUGCCUCUGCCUUUCCCUGCCUGGUGUUGGUUUCAGCACCCGGCCAGCGCCCUUCUUUCUUUCACCCUGAAGCCCCAGUCACCGUGCUGCUGGCGGUUUCCCCACCACCACCUGCGGAGGGCAUCCGGGCACCUUAGGCUUGUCCUAGGUCCCCAGAGCUAGACAGAAACAGGGAGACUGGAGGGAUGUUGUGGUCUCACUAAGCCUCAGUUUAUUCAUCUGCAAAAUGGGGGGAUAAUUUUACAGAUGCCAGGGGUGCUUCUGGCCCAGUCUUGCAUCUCGAUUUGCUCACCUGAGCCGGGAGUCAGGAGAUGCGGGCUGUCGUCCCAGCCAGGAGUUGUGGCUUCCUCUCUCAGAACUGGUCUCCCCAUCUGCGAAUUGGGAGGAAGAGCUCCUGCUCUCUGUCCUGAGCGGGACGGGGGCACCAAGUGAGAUGUGCAGGGUGAUGGAGUUUGGCAAACUGCACCUGUUGGGGUAGAUGGGAAGGAACCCAGCACUCUCUCCCUUCCAGACCUUUGCUCCAUAUGGCCUUCCCUUCAGUGCCUCUUCCUCUGGGAAGCCCUCCCUGAUGCCCAGCAGGUCCUCUCCUGCCACCCUGGUGUCUCCCCUCAAGCUUAGGCCCUGCUUAUCUGCCUCACACCCAGGCCUGUGAGCCUUGGGAGUGCAGGAACCACACCCCUGGCAAGGGCCUGGCCCAGAGUCCCUCGGGAGAAAGAGGCAGACAUCCUGGCUGCAGAAAGAGGCCAGAGCCACCUUGGGCCCCACUGCCCAGGCUUUGGGCAAAUGGUGGCCUCUGUUGGUGGGGAGUCAUCAUCUUUCCCCAGUGAACAGCGGGUCCAAGUCCCUGGGUGGCCCCCGGCCCCACCUUCUGAGCAUGGACAUGCCAGGAGGGAGCCAUGGCUGUGUGUGCCUCCCGUGGAGGAGGGAAAAUGCCCUUUCGUGAUGCCAUCUUAGCCCUGGCUGCCCCUCCUCAUUCAGUUUCUGAGGUUACCCACCUGCCACCAGCCCUUUCCCUGUGCUCGGUGGGGUGGUUGGUGGAGCUGCCACUGGAUAUUAGGACCCAGAAAGCCCAGGCUGCCUAUGGGACACCACACCCUGAGCUCCUUCCUGGGGUGAGAUGCAAGGGGCGGGGGGGCAGGGACAGGAGAGGGAAAUCCUGAGUUGCCGUGUGGGUAGCCCAGCUGUGCCUGCCUGUCCUAAACACCUGAGAGCCAUUAUCUCGUGGAGUCCCUGCGGUAGCUCCUCGAAGGCAGUGCUGCUGAUACCUACAUUUUGCAGGUGAUGAAACUGAGGCACAGAGUGUGGUUAAUCAACACGGCCAGUGAGGGCAGAGCCUGGCCCAGCAGCCUCUGAGAAGGAUACAAGGGAGGUGCAUGGAAGGGAGAAGUUUCUGGAGCAAUUGCCGUGAGACCGUCUGGGCAAUUAAAUUGUCCCGAGGGUCUCGAGAAGACUUUUGUGUGGGGUGUGCAAAGGAACUCCCCUUUGGUGUCUCUGAGAGAUCAGGAAGAUUUAGACCGCUUUUCCAGGAUUUGGGGGUGUCAGACGGGUGUUUCUCUUGAAUGUGACAUGGUGAUGAGACUGGACCCCAAGGCAGCCCAGUUUUAUUCAGGUUACAGUCAUAAUAACAGCCAUGGCAGCACUUAAAGCCGUUGUCACGGACCGAGCGCUCUUUAUGUGCUCGACACUGGGCUCGGCUUUGCCUGGGCGGCCCAUUCCAUCCACACCCUCACCACCAGCUUGAGGUAGAGAUUAUUCUCAUCCUCGGGUUAUUUCCUUAUCGCUGGUAUCAGAACCGGUUUGUCUCCACCUUCCCCAUCUCUCCUGUCAGGCAGUGGGCUUGGUAAAGGCCCCCGGCUGGUGUCUCCCACUCAUGCCGAGUCCCCAGCACCCAGCCCCAGCUCCACAGGGAGCAGCCAGACAGUAGAGCUUUGCUGGACAUGCUUCAGAUGAAAAGGCUGACAGCCAGAGAGCUCGCCAGGAGGGAAUCUAGGUUUCUGGGGCUUGAGACCCCAGAUUCUAAUCCCCAACUCAGCUGCUUGAAAGACUGUCUUGGAGACUCCCUUCAAGAAGGGCAUAGAGGAGUUCCCUUGCUGGCUCAGUGGUUAACGAACCCGACUAGGAUCCAUGAGGAUGCGGGUUCGGUCCCUGGCCUCGCUCAGUGUGUUAAGGAUCCGGCAUUGCUGUGAGCUAUGGUGUAGGUUGCAGACGCGGCUCGGAUCCCGCGUUGCUGUGGCUGUGGUGUAGGCUGGCAGCUGUGGCUCUGAUUCAACCCUUAGCCUGGGAACUUCCAUACGCUGCGGGUGCAGCCCUAAAAAGCAAAAAAGCAAAAAAAAAAAAAAAAAAAAAAAAAAAGGGCCAUAGAGCAUGAAUUCCCCCACCCAACCCCCUGCCCACUGUUCUCAGGCCUUGUACCAAAACCCAAGAGGCUUCUAAUCUGUAUCUGCCCCCUCCUGUCUUUUCCCUGCUUUUUAGAGUAUUGGAUGGAGAUUGGCCAGAGUUAGCUCAGGCUUGAGGAAGUUGCGUUCUUUCAGAGUUGCCCGGUGUUUUGGGUGGGAUCUGAUUCCAAAUGUCCUUCCUGUCACAUUGGUUCCCACUCGGAGAACUCCUGGACGUGGAGGUGACCUUACUAUGUGAGUCCCCGCCUGGUCAAUUUCUAGGUGCACUUAAUCCUUGCUGCUGCUCUCUGGGAUGGGGCCCCCGGUUCUACAGGGGUCUAGGUGAGGGUCUCAGGGAAGCCGGGGGUUAUAAACCCAAGACACUGACAGUUAAGAGCUUGACUCCAUCAAUGACCUUGGGAACCUCUGCAGCGGAACAGAGGUCAAGCAUUCGACCGCUCUGAGAUCUGGCCUCCCCGUCUGUAAAACGGGGGUAUGCAUGGCUAGUAGCUUGAAUGCUGGCUGUAGAUGGAGAGAAAAAGUCAAGUUUUCUCCCUCCCUCUCUCUCUCUCUCCCUCUCUCUUUCUCUCUCUUUCUUUGGCUGAACCUGAGACAUGAGGAAGUUCUCAGCCCAAAAGUCGAACCUGAGCCGCAGCUGUAACCAGAGCUGUAUCAGUGACAACGCCAGCUCCUUAACGCCCUGAGUCACAAGGGAACUCUUCAAGCUUUCUCUUUAAAAACAGAAAUCACAGUUUCCACAAGUAAUAUGCGAUUUUUAUCCCUAUAUGUUAAGAAAUGUUGGUUUAAAAACAUCUGAACACCAUAAAAUGCUGACAUGCUCGCUGCACGCCCAGCUUUGCAUCCGAGGCCGGCUGGAUGGUGGUACCCCAUGUGUGGGCGUGUCCUGUGAUAGGGCUGUUCACCUGUUCACUUGUUCUGGCCAUCCUACAGCCACCUCAUGAGGUGCCAGGGACAGGGAGCAUCAUUUCCCCAAGGAGGGAACAGCUACAGAGUGGGGACGCCACUUGCUUCUUGAGAAAUUGAUGAGCCCGGCUUUGGACCUGGGCACUGUGUUCUACCAAGCCUCAGAACUUUGCAUCCUGAGCACUGAGUGAGCUUUCAGGGCACAAAAGCAAACCAGGGUAGAGCUACAUCUCCAAGGAGACGGGGACACAUGGGUAAACCAGCGAGACAUGUGGGGUAACGGGGGCACGGAGGCUGGGUAACCCGUCCAUCUCAUAAAGAAUCACCAGAAAGAUUUUGCUUAGAACAAGCCCCUAGGAGUUCCUGUUGUGGCUCGGCAGCUUAAGGAUCCCUGAUGUUGUCUCUGUGAGGAUGCAGGUUCGAUCCCUGGCCCUUUGCUGUGGCUGAUGGAUGGUGCAUUUUUUUUUAAUACCUCAACGUGGACUCCUCCGGAGUUGUCCUGGAAAUCCAGUGGCUUGUCCUUCACUGUGCUGGUCCAGUUCACGGUCAUGGGGUCUCUAGCUCCUGCUACUCAGACACAGGAUAACUUUUUUUUUUUAAUGUUCGUACUUGCACUGUGAGUUUGUUGUAUGGUUUGGGUUUUUUUUUUUUUUUAAAGGAUCAUUGUUUAAGAAGCGACUGUGCCCCCCACCCCCAAUCCCGAACCCAAAGGUGACUCCAAGUCCCUCGUGGAAGGAGGACCUCUGGGGUCCUCACAUCUUUAGGGCGUCUCCUGAUGGAGGUAGCGCCAGGCAAGGGGCCGUGGGGUAAAGGCAACAUUUGAUUGCAGCCCCUCUGUUAUCUACUGGACCUCAGAGCCCUGCCCCUUAGCCUCUGAGCGCUCCUGACCAGAACCUCCGAUAGGUCACCUCUCUGGUGGGGACGGGGUGGAGGGAGGGAUGGAGGGGCGGGGUCCGCCUAGAAGGAGCAAUGGAAGCGCCACCCAGCUGCACACGUCCGGUCGAGCGCUUGGACAAGCCGAGAUGGGUGGAAGCUGCACGCCAGGGCCCACGCUCGUCUGGUUGCAGAUUUCAAGUUGGUCUGUGGCUGGUUUCCUGCCAACAGGAGCCCACACGUCAUCCUCCAGGACUGCUUUCGUGGUGAGCGUGGCGCGGGACCACCUCGAGAAGACCCGGGCUGCAAGCCCAGGUGGCUCAACCCUGCCCAUCGGGGCUGGGUGGGGGCGGGGCAUUUUAAAGAAAAUAGAAGGAAGCGGGGGCCCGCUGCCAAAAAUCGUUGAAACAAAUGCCCCCCCCCCGUAACUCAAAUUUCUAAGCUAAUUCCUCUCUCUGUUCCCACCAGAAAAAUUCCUCCUGCUGCUUUUGCUCCAAGGCCCAGGGCUGGUGCUAUAAGAAACCUGCCUUUGUUAAGUAACAGCAGCUUUCUCAGUUUGGGUUCAUCAGGGGCAUCCAUGAGAUGCCUGUGCAACUUGCACUGGCCGGGAGAGUCUGAACCCCCACAGCGGGCUGGUAGAGAACCCCAUCCAAAGCAAAGAAAGGGAUGGUGUAUGGAGGCCGUGGUGGCCUGGCCCUCCGUCAGGUGCAGUGUCCGUCAGGGAUUUCAAGAGGCCGUAAAUAGCUUAGAGACACUCUCAUCCCAGGAAAGCCUUAGAGGGCCCCCAGGGAACCCCAGAUUGGGAAUCACUGGGCUAAGCCAGUUGGGAUGUGGAUGGUGCGUUACGCUCUGACAAUGCCCGCAGCCACGCCUAUUUCCCCAUCAAGGAAGGUCCCCUGACUCUGCCAUUUACCGGCUGUGUGAUCUUGGGUGGAUGGCUUUCCCUCUCUGAACCUCUGAGUCCCAUGGCGUCCCCUCCUGGGUUGGAAGCACUCUGGAGGGGCUGGGUGUCUUUUUUUUUUUUUUUUUUUUCCUUUUUUGGCCACCCUGCAGCAUUCAGAGCUCCUGGACCAGGGAUCAGAUCUGAGCCACAGUUCUGACCUACACUGCAGCUGCGGCCACGCCAGGUCCUUAACCCACUGUGCCGGGUGGGGGAUGGUACCUGCGUCCCAGGGCUCCAGAGACGCCGCAUUCCUGUUGUGCCACAGCGGGAACUCCUGGCCCACCGCCACGGCAGUUUGGCCGUGUUUCCCAAAGAGGCUCUGAAGCUCUGAUGCCAGAGAUUCACAAAGACUCCUGAAAAACAGCUUCCUUGCCCACUUUUGCUUAAAUACGCCAAAGUGCACUGGGAAUCUUGGAGAAGACACUCAAGACCACGGCCUGCCUGUACCCUGCACACCAAGGUUUUCCAGGGCACAACCUGGGAUCAGUGUUCCAAGGAGCACACUUUGGGAACCCAGCCCACGACAGGUCCUCCAGACUAAAAAGGUCUCUUUGUUUCUGUGUUCGUUACCUACUUCUGCAAAACAAAGCAUCCCAACUCAGUGGCUGAAAACCGUAAGAAUAUGUUAUCUCAAAGUGUGGGUCGGGAAUUCAGAAGUGGCAUUCCUGGCUGGUCCUGGCUUGUGGUCUCUUGUGAGUGAAGUCACCUGACAGCUUGCCUGAGACGGGAGGGUCUUCUUCCAAGAUGGUACACUCACUUGGCGGGCAGGGCAGUGCUGGCUGUCGGCUAGAGGCCUCGGUUCCUUGCCACACAGACUCCUCCACGGAGCUGCUUGGGCUCCCUCACAAUAUGGUGGCUGGCUUCCCCCCAGAUGGAUAGAAGAGAGCAAGACCGAAGCCACAGUGUCUUUUAGGACGUGGCCUCAGGACGCAGUGAUGGCUACAGGGAUCCAGGCGUGUUUGCCUCCUGGAAAUGUGCAGAAAAAUCCGUGACCCGUCUGAACCCACGUGGAGAAAACUGGAGGAGGAGUGAACUCAGGAUGGAUGAAUAAUGCCAAAGAUAAACACGUAAUAAAUAGGUAAAAACCCUUCCGUGGCUCCUCACUCUCCUCGGAAGACAGUCCAAACUUGAGAGUGGCCCUGUGGCCUUUGGGGGCCAGGCACAGACCAAGCUCGCACACCGAGGGGCUCGUCACCUUCUCUCCCUUGGACACACAGACUGGACUGAAUGGUGCCAGCUUCUCCUCUUUAGAACCUCACAUCCUCUGCCUGGCACACUGUCUCCUCUUCUUGUUACUUGCUAAAUGUCACUUCCUCCAGGAAGCCCUCCCUGCCUAAUUGACUUUAGUUCAAACCCCGGGCUCCCGCUGCACUUCUUUGUAGCCCUCGUCAUUGUAAUGAUCUAAAAAAAAUCUAAAAAAACCCAAA